AUUGAACGCUGGCGGCGUGCCUAACACAUGCAAGUCGAGCGGUAACAGGUGUAGCAAUACAUGCUGACGAGCGGCGGACGGGUGAGUAACGCUUGGGAAUCUGCCUGAUAGUGGGGACGAACCCGGGAAACGUCGGGCUAAUACCGCAUACGCACUACGGUGGAAAGCCGGGACCGCAAGGCCUGGCGCUAUCAGAUGAGCCCAAGUCGGAUUAGCUAGUUGGAGGGUAACGGGCCUACCAAGGCGACGAUCCGUAACUGGUCUGAGAGGACGACCAGUCACACCGGAACUGAGACACGGUCCGGACUCCUACGGGAGGCAGCAGUGGGGAAUAUUGGACAAUGGGCGAAAGCCUGAUCCAGCGACGCCGCGUGGGUGAAGAAGGCCUGCGGGUUGUAAAGCCCUUUC
rnacentral:rRNA from 1 species